rnacentral:snoRNA from 1 species
CUGGAAAUGAUGCAUAAAAUCAACCUGAGUCCUAGUGAAGGUAUUUGUAUUCAUACUGUCUGAUCUGG